rnacentral:rRNA from 1 species
UGGGGAAUAUUGCACAAUGGGCGCAAGCCUGAUGCAGCCAUGCCGCGUGUAUGAAGAAGGCCUUCGGGUUGUAAAGUACUUUCAGCGAGGAGGAAGGCGUUGUGGUUAAUAACCGCAACGAUUGACGUUACUCGCAGAAGAAGCACCGGCUAACUCCGUGCCAGCAGCCGCGGUAAUACGGAGGGUGCAAGCGUUAAUGGGAAUUACUGGGCGUAAAGCGCACGCAGGCGGUCUGUCAAGUCGGAUGUGAAAUCCCCGGGCUCAACCUGGGAACUGCAUCCGAAACUGGCAGGCUAGAGUCUUGUAGAGGGGGGUAGAAUUCCAGGUGUAGCGGUGAAAUGCGUAGAGAUCUGGAGGAAUACCGGUGGCGAAGGCGGCCCCCUGGACAAAGACUGACGCUCAGGUGCGAAAGCGUGGGGAGCAAACA